AUUAUACAGCGAAACUGCGAAUGGCUCAUUAAAUCAGUUAUCGUUUAUUUGAUAGUACCUUACUACUUGGAUAACCGUGGUAAUUCUAGAGCUAAUACAUGCUAAAAACCCCGACUCACGAAGGGGUGUAUUUAUUAGAUUAAAAACCAAUGCCCUUCGGGGCUCUUUGGUGAUUCAUAAUAACUUUUCGAAUCGCAUGGCCUUGCGCCGGCGAUGGUUCAUUCAAAUUUCUGCCCUAUCAACUUUCGAUGGCAGGGUCUUGGCCUGCCAUGGUUACAACGGGUAACGGAGGGUUAGGGCUCGACCCCGGAGAAGGAGCCUGAGAAACGGCUACUACAUCCAAGGAAGGCAGCAGGCGCGCAAAUUACCCAAUCCCGAUUCGGGGAGGUAGUGACAAUAAAUACUGAUACAGGGCUCUUUUGGGUCUUGUAAUUGGAAUGAGUACAAUUUAAAUCCCUUAACGAGGAACAAUUGGAGGGCAAGUCUGGUGCCAGCAGCCGCGGUAAUUCCAGCUCCAAUAGCGUAUAUUAAAGUUGUUGCAGUUAAAAAGCUCGUAGUUGAACCUUGGGCCUGGCUGGCCGGUCCGCCUCACCGCGUGCACUGGUUCGGCCGGGCCUUUCCCUCUGGGGAACCUCAUGGUCUUCACUGAUCGUGAUGGGGAACCAGGACUUUUACUGUGAAAAAAUUAGAGUGUUCAAAGCAGGCCUAUGCUCGAAUACAUUAGCAUGGAAUAAUAAAAUAGGACGUGUGGUUCUAUUUUGUUGGUUUCUAGGACCGCCGUAAUGAUUAAUAGGGACAGUCGGGGGCAUCAGUAUUCAAUUGUCAGAGGUGAAAUUCUUGGAUUUAUUGAAGACUAACUACUGCGAAAGCAUUUGCCAAGGAUGUUUUCAUUAAUCAGGAACGAAAGUUAGGGGAUCGAAGACGAUCAGAUACCGUCGUAGUCUUAACCAUAAACUAUGCCGACUAGGGAUCGGACGGUGUUACUUAUUGACCCGUUCGGCACCUUACGAGAAAUCAAAGUCUUUGGG
rnacentral:rRNA from 1 species